rnacentral:rRNA from 1 species
GACGAGGGGUCCAAGCGUUGUUCGGAAUCAUUGGGCGUAAAGCGGGUGUAGGCGGCUCUAUAAGUCAGAAGUGAAAGCCCCGAGCUUAACUUGGGAAGUGCUUUUGAUACUGCAGAGCUUGAAUGUGGGAGAGGGUAGUGGAAUUCCAGGUGUAGUGGUGAAAUACGUAGAUAUCUGGAGGAACACCGGUGGCGAAGGCGGCUACCUGGCCCAACAUUGACGCUGAGACCCGAAAGCAUGGGGAUC